AGCGAACGCUGGCGGCAGGCCUAACACAUGCAAGUCGAACAAAGUCUUCGGACUUAGUGGCGGACGGGUGAGUAACACGUGGGAACGUGCCUUUAGGUUCGGAAUAACUCAGGGAAACUUGUGCUAAUACCGAAUGUGCCCUUCGGGGGAAAGAUUUAUCGCCUUUAGAGCGGCCCGCGUCUGAUUAGCUAGUUGGUGGGGUAAUGGCCCACCAAGGCUACGAUCAGUAGCUGGUCUGAGAGGAUGACCAGCCACAUUGGGACUGAGACACGGCCCAAACUCCUGCGGGAGGCAGCAGUGGGGAAUCUUGCGCAAUGGGCGAAAGCCUGACGCAGCCAUGCCGCGUGGAUGACGAAGGUCUUAGGAUUGUAAAAUCCUUUCACCGGUGAAGAUAAUGACUGUAGCCGGAGAAGAAGCCCCGGCUAACUUCGUGCCAGCCGCCGCCGUAA
rnacentral:rRNA from 1 species